UAUGUUUUGUUUUGUUCGAAGGAUGUAUUUGCAGUACGAGAACAGUUCCCUGUUUCUGAAUCAACACUUCAUAUGAGUAUUCAGAAGGCUGCAGAGGAUUUCUUGGCUAAAUCAACUCAGGACAAGCCAAAACCUUUCUUUGACAUUCAUGACAAAACCCAACAUUUGCAGAUCCAGCCACAGCACUAUCAAUUCCUGCAUGUUUGGAUCUUGAGGGAGUAUUUAGAGCUCGACAUGCAGAUAGUUGAUCCACGGGAAAAAUUUGAGUUUGAUGUUGAGCGCAUCAUUGAUGACUUCGUUUUCAUGUGUUUCUUUGUUGGUAAUGACUUCCUACCUCACAUGCCCACCCUUGAAAUACAUGAGAAUGCUAUAGACUUGCUUAUGUAUGUCUACAAGAAAGAGUUCAAGAGUCUUGGUGGAUAUUUAGUUGAUAUGCAGAGAGUCAAUGACCAGCAUGCUGGUUAUAUCAAGCUGAAAAGAGUUGAGAAGUUCAUUCUGUCCGUUGGCAGCUAUGAAGAAAAGAUCUUUAAGAAACGGACUGAGAUAAGGGACAAGAAACUUCGAAGGAUAAUUUCUGAAUUAUUAGAAUCUGAAGCAUAUAAACAAGAUCCUGAAGGUUUUGAAGUUAGUGGGAUGGAUAUCAAGGAUCAUGAAGUCAGAAAUGCUCCGGAAUAUUCAGAAUUUCAAGAAAUGUUGGCAAAUAAAAAGGAGUUACAUGAAGAGUUGAAGAAGUGCAUUCGUGAAAGAUCUGAUAUUUUCAGAGAUGGGAAUAUGGGAAGAGACAAGGUGAAACUAGGAUCUCAAGGUUGGAAACUGCGAUAUUAUAAAGAAAAGUUUUCAGUGGAGGAUCCUAAAGCAAUAGAAAUCAAAAGAAAGCAGAUUGUUCAGCUGUAUACUGAAGGACUAUGUUGGGUCUUGUUGUACUAUUAUUCUGGAAUACCAUCUUGGAAUUGGUACUAUCCUGAGCAUUAUGGACCAUUUGCUUCAGACCUAAAGGGUUUAGCUGGUAUUAAAGUGCGAUUUCAAACAGGUGCUCCAUUUAAGCCAUUUGAUCAGCUAAUGGCUGUACUCCCACCGAAGAGUGCGCAUGCACUUCCAAGAGUCUAUCAGGAACUCAUGACAGAUACGCAAUCCAACAUCAUUGAGUUUUAUCCCACUGAUUUUGACGUCGAUGUGGAUGGAAAAAGAUUUAUGUGGCAGGGAAUUUGCAUACUUCCUUUCAUAGACCAGGAAAAGCUCCUGAUUGCCACCAAACAAUUGGAGCAAAAAGUAGAGGAGGAGGAAGCUGAAAGAAAUAUUCAGACAACUGAUAAGUUGUUCAUAAGAACUUCAAAUAGGUACUCUCCUAUAUGACCGCAAGAGAAUUUCAUGUACCUCUCUAAUCAUUAGUGUUCAUUGACAUUCUUAGUUUGAGUGUUACCAUUUGUCAGGUGCUUAAAUUUCGAGUUACCUGAAGCAUGUUUUAUACCUCGCUUGCUGGAAGGUAUUCAGCCUCCUGAAAAGACAAUAUUAGAGAAUGAGAUCGAGGAGACUGUGCUUUGGCACGAGUACAGUGGCAGACCUCCUAUCACUAGACAUUACAAUAGGUACGGGACUGGAGCAGCUCAUGAUGUAGGGAAAAACACCACAGUAAACAAAAGCUGCGUAAUCAGAACUGCUGGUUCAGGUCGUGGCUUUGAAGCAGCUGGUAGAGGCAAGGGAUUCACGUCAAAUGCAAGGCAAACUCAUAGUUAUAAUGUUAAUGAGAGGUAUGCCUCUACAGCUGUCCCCCAAAGUCCGAGUAGGGGAAUGGAGAACUUGAGAGUAUCUGGGGGAUCAUGGGGCACAAGCACACGAAAUAACAUGCAGUCUACAAGAAGUGUUGUGCCGCAUGAAAAUACCUCGUGGCGACCAGUUUCGUACACAAGGCCUAGUUUCACUAGUCAAGGCAGUGAGGGGUCAUUGGCACAGUUUAGGCCACAUAAUGCAAACAACACUCAGUUUGGUGCUGUGCGACAUGCUAAUACAUCGUGGCAAUCAGUUUCAUAUGCAAGGCCUAGGUUUACUAGCCACUACAGUGAGGAAUCAUCAGCACAGCCUAGGCCGCAUAACACAAACGUCCCUCAGUUCAUGGGCAGAGGGAGAAGAAGAGGCCGAUCAGAACAUGGACAUCAAAUGUACAACCAAUUUUCAACGGGGUGUCCUGAUUAUAGGGAUCGUAAUCGUUGGUAGUUCAUUUUGUGACCCUUGUAGGCUGCAUCUACAACUGUCCUUUUUUGGAAGAUACUAAAAUGUGUAUGUUCAGUAAUCAAUUUUGGUGCUUGAGUAUUUUGUGGAAUAGGGCAAAAACCAACUACUAGUUGCUGGAAUGUAUAUGGUGCUAGAACUAGGUGCUUAGGAACAGCUCAGAAGUAGUUUUACAGUUGUAGUUACUAGUUAGUACUCUGAUCCAUGCUUUGAUGGCAUUUCUUUAACCUUGAAAAACACCAUUAAUCUUUUGCAAUCUUGUUUUGUCUUCAA